rnacentral:rRNA from 1 species
AUUGAACGCUGGCGGCAGGCUUAACACAUGCAAGUCGAGCGAGCGGCGGACGGGUGAGUAAUGUCUGGGAAACUGCCUGAUGGAGGGGGAUAACUACUGGAAACGGUAGCUAAUACCGCAUACCAUCGGAUGUGCCCAGAUGGGAUUAGCUAGGAGGUGGGGUAAAGGCUCACCUAGGCGACGAUCCCUAGCUGGUCUGAGAGGAUGACCAGCCACACUGGAACUGAGACACGGUCCGAGCUCCUACGGGAGGCAGAAGUGGGGAAUAUGGCACAAUGGGAGCAAGCCUGAUGCAGCCGUACCGCGUGGGUGAGGAAGGCCUUCGGGUUGUAGAGCACUUUCAGCGAGGAGGCGUUACUCGCAGAAUAAGCACCGGCUAACUCCGUGCCAGCAGCCGCGGUAAUUC